UACCAUAAGAUUUCACUCUGCCAAAUCAUC
rnacentral:piRNA from 1 species